GACGAACGCUGGCGGCGUGCUUAACACAUGCAAGUCGAGCGGUAAGGCCCUUUCGGGGGUACACGAGCGGCGAACGGGUGAGUAACACGUGGGUGACCUGCCCUCAGCUCUGGGAUAAGCCUGGGAAACUGGGUCUAAUACUGGAUAUGACUCCACGGUGCAUGUCGUGGGGUGGAAAGCCUUGUGCGGCUGAGGAUGGGG
rnacentral:rRNA from 1 species